UGUCACUAUAUAAACUCUCUUAACUCCCAUAUAUAACUAACAAUGAGCACUAUCACAUGCAACCAUAUAAAGGCAUUCAGAUACCAUCUUGAGCUAUGAGUAAUACAUUAUUGAAGCGAUACCGUGGCUCGUGUAACUUGAAAAAAGAAUCAUAAACGAAUUUUGCCACUAUAUGAUUAAUUAUUAUUAUGAAUUGUAAAGAAAGGAGUGGGAAAACUGAAAAGGCCAUUUUAUGAAGUUGCUGAGAGUAUACGUAAUUCAAAGACACGACAUCUUCUUAUGUACGAAAAACAUACCAUCCCGGAUACUUUUUUUUUCCAAUUUAUUUUUUAGUUCUAUCAUUUAAAAUUUGGUUCAUAAUUUUAUUAUACAUACUCGCAACGAUUAGAUAUGAUGUGUCUCGGGAUAACUACGUCUUAAUUAUGAUAAUUGUAUACGACAAAUAUAAUAUAGAGACUCAAGUAGAUACCGAGUUAAAAACAAACUUGGGUCUGAAUAAAUAAUUGUUUUAUAUGUUUUUUUUAACGGUCAACAAAAUACACGGUUAGUGAGAUUGAUCCGUAAAUACUAAUUUUGAAUUGAUCCAUAUGUAUAGUAUUGAUUCAUGUAUUACAAGUUAUCCCAAUUCAAAAGGAACAGUGAUGGGAUGAAAAUACAAAAGAAUUGGAAGAGAUAGCUAAAUUAUGUUUCACUUAUAUGAGGAGACAAUUCAAACUCUGAAUUUGACAACUAAUUUGAUAGGAUUGUUUGUGUUACUUAUAAAACUAUUUAAAAUACAUAUCUUAUAGUUUAAGUUAUUGUUGAGCAAGGUUUAUACGUUAUAAGAAUAUCUAAAAGAACCAAAUAAUAUCAAACUAUGAGAAAAUACGUAUAAGAAAACUAGGGGAAAGUUACUCUACAAAUAAAGUUAACGUACUAAACGUACGAAUAGCAUGAAAAAAAAAACACACGGUGGUAUUUUUGUAAUUGUCUGCUUGUAGGGUAAUAUUUAACAAUAAAGAUUUAAAAAUUAUAAAAUAAUAACUUUUUGAUAAGAAUUAAUUGACUUUUUUAUAUAACUUUUAAAAUUAAGAAAUAAAAUAUGAAUCGGUGAAAUAAAAGAAGUUGGAAAGAGUAAUUUUGAUAGUUAUUGAUAAUUACAAAAAUGCCACCACAUUUUUUUUGUCUUUUACUUCAAUUCGUACGUUUUGUACGUUAACUUUAUUUGUAUUUGAUCUUUUACCAAGAAAACUAAACGUGAAUUAAUACUAUUUUACGAUCAAACAAACAUGGUUUUAAUCAUCCAGCGGAAUUCUGAAAUUCAUGUUAAAAGGGCUACACAAAGUUGGUUGGAAACCAAGUUUAAAAAGAAAUAUUAAAUAUUUAACAAUAAAGAUUUAAAAAUUAUAAAAUAAUAACUUUUUUAUAAGAAUUAAUUGACUUUUUUAAUUAACUUUUUAAAUUAAGAAAUAAAAUAUGAAUCGGUGAAAUAAAAGAAGUUGGAAAAAAUCCCGGCCUCUCAUCUAUCUAUACUUUUUAUAAAAGGAGAAAA
rnacentral:lncRNA from 1 species